UACAGGGGGGGCAAGCGUUGUUCGGAAUUACUGGGCGUAAAGGGCCAGUAGGCGGCCAACUAAGUCACACGUGAAAUCCCCAGGCUUAACCUGGGAACUGCGUGUGAUACUGGAUGGCUUGAAUUCGGGAGAGGGAUGCAGAAUUCCAGGUGUAGCGGUGAAAUGCGUAGAUAUCUGGAGGAACACCGGUGGCGAAGGCGGCAUUCUGGACCAUAACUGACACUGAGAGACGAAAGCCAGGGGAGCAAACGGG
rnacentral:rRNA from 1 species